rnacentral:rRNA from 1 species
CAGUAGCCACGGUAAUACGUAGGUGGCGAGCGUUGUCCGGAAUCAUUGGGCGUAAAGGGAGCGCAGGCGGGCAUAUAAGUCUUUCUUAAAAGUUCGGGGCUCAACCCCGUGAUGGGAAAGAAACUAUAUGUCUUGAGUACAGGAGAGGAAAGCGGAAUUCCCAGUGUAGCGGUGAAAUGCGUAGAUAUUGGGAGGAACACCAGUGGCGAAGGCGGCUUUCUGGACUGCAACUGACGCUGAGGCUCGAAAGCCAGGGGAGCGAACGGGAUUAGAUACCCCCGUAGUCCCUGUCUCUUAUACA